AUGACCUCCACCAUGGCCUGGGCCCCUCUCCUCCUCACCCUCCUGGCUCACUGCACAGGAUCCUGGGCCCAGUCUGUGCUGACUCAGCCGUCCUCAGUGUCGGGGGCCCCGGGCCAGAGAGUCACCAUCUCCUGCACUGGAAGCAGCUCCAACAUUGGGGAUAACUAUGUGUCCUGGUACCAGCAGAUCCCAGGAAAGGCCCCCAAACUCCUCAUCUAUGGUGAUAGCGACAGAGACUCAGGGGUACCGGGCCGAUAUUCUGGCUCCAAAUAUGGCACCUCAGCCUCCCUGACCAUCACGGGGCUGCAGGCUGAGGACGAGGCUGAUUAUCAUUGCUUGACAUGGGACAGCAGUAUCAGCAGUCCCACAGUGCUGCAGGCCAGUGGGGAAGCUGGUCACCCCGUGACCUGA